rnacentral:rRNA from 1 species
CCUACGGGAGGCAGCAGUGGGGAAUAUUGCACAAUGGGGGAAACCCUGAUGCAGCGACGCCGCGUGAGUGAAGAAGUAUUUCGGUAUGUAAAGCUCUAUCAGCAGGGAAGAAAAUUACGGUACCUGACUACGAAGCCCCGGCUAACUACGUGCCAGCCGCCGCGGUCAUACGGAGGGGGCAAGCGUAAUCCGGAUUUACUGGGUGUAAAGGGAGCGUAGACGGCCAGACAAGUCAGAAGUGAAAGCCCAGGGCUCAACCCUGGGACUGCUUUUGAAACUGCCGGGCUGGAGUGCAGGAGAGGUAAGCGGAAUUCCUAGUGUAGCGGUGAAAUGCGUAGAUAUUAGGAGGAACACCAGUGGCGAAGGCGGCUUACUGGACUGUAACUGACGUUGAGGCUCGAAAGCGUGGGGAGCAAACAGGAUUAGAUACCCGAGUAGUC